UGGGGAAUAUUGGACAAUGGGCGCAAGCCUGAUCCAGCCAUGCCGCGUGAGUGAUGAAGGCCCUAGGGUUGUAAAGCUCUUUCACCGGUGAAGAUAAUGACGGUAACCGGAGAAGAAGCCCCGGCUAACUUCGUGCCAGCAGCCGCGGUAAUACGAAGGGGGCUAGCGUUGUUCGGAUUUACUGGGCGUAAAGCGCACGUAGGCGGACUAUUAAGUCAGGGGUGAAAUCCCGGGGCUCAACCCCGGAACUGCCUUUGAUACUGGUAGUCUUGAGUUCGAGAGAGGUGAGUGGAAUUCCGAGUUUAGAGGUGAAAUUCGUAGAUAUUCGGAGGAACACCAGUGGCGAAGGCGGCUCACUGGCUCGAUACUGACGCUGAGGUGCGAAAGCGUGGGGAGCAAACAGG
rnacentral:rRNA from 1 species